GGCUCAAUGGUCUAGCGGUAUGAUUCCUGCUUUGGGUGCAGGAGGUCCCGGGUUCAAUCCCCGGUUGAGCCC
rnacentral:tRNA from 4 species